UACGUAGGGUGCAAGCGUUGUCCGGAAUUAUUGGGCGUAAAGAGCUCGUAGGCGGUUUGUUGCGUCGGCUGUGAAAUCCCGAGGCUCAACCUCGGGUCUGCAGUCGAUACGAGCAAACUAGAGUGUUGCAGGGGAGACUGGAAUUCCUGGUGUAGCGGUGAAAUGCGCAGAUAUCAGGAGGAACACCGGUGGCGAAGGCGGCUCGCUGGACCGGUUCUGACGCUGAUGCGCGAAAGCGUGGGGAGCAAACGGG
rnacentral:rRNA from 1 species